rnacentral:rRNA from 1 species
AGCGGCGGACGGGUGAGUAACGCGUAGGAAUCUACCUGGUAGUGGGGGACAACAUGGUGAAAACCAUGCUAAUACCGCAUACGCCCUAUGGGGGAAAGCGGGGGACCUUCGGGCCUCGCGCUAUCAGAUGAGCCUGCGUAGGAUUAGCUUGUUGGUGAGGUAAAGGCUCACCAAGGCGACGAUCCUUCGCUGGUCUGAGAGGAUGAUCAGCCACACUGGAACUGAGACACGGUCCAGACUCCUACGGGAGGCAGCAGUGGGGAAUAUUGCGCAAUGGGCGAAAGCCUGACGCAGCCAUGCCGCGUGUGUGAAGAAGGCCUUCGGGUUGUAAAGCACUUUCAAUUGGGAAGAAAGGUUGCGUGUUAAUAGCACGUAGCUGUGACGUUACCCUUAGAAGAAGCACCGGCUAACUCCGUGCCAGCAGCCGCGGUAAUACGGAGGGUGCGAGCGUUAAUCGGAAUUACUGGGCGUAAAGCGCGCGUAGGCGGUUUGUUAAGUCGGAUGUGAAAUCCCCGGGCUCAACCUGGGAAUGGCAUUCGAUACUGGCCGACUAGAGUACGAGAGAGGGAGGUAGAAUUCUACGUGUAGCGGUGAAAUGCGUAGAUAUGUGGAGGAAUACCGGUGGCGAAGGCGGCCUCUUGGCUCGAUACUGACGCUGAGGUGCGAAAGCGUGGGUAGCAAACAGGAUUAGAUACCCUGGUAGUCCACGCCGUAAACGAUGUCUACUAGC